UAGAGUUUGAUCAUGGCUCANGGAUGAACGCUAGCGGCAGGCCUAAUACAUGCAAGUCGAACGGACCUUAACCUUUCGGGGUUUUGGUUAGUGGCGCACGGGUGCGUAACGCGUAUGCAACCUACCUUCCACAGGGGGAUAGCCCGCCGAAAGGCGGAUUAAUACCGCAUGACAUAGUUUGAGGGCAUCCGAAGACUAUCAAAGCUGAGGCGGUGGAAGAUGGGCAUGCGUGCCAUUAGCUAGUUGGCGGGGUAGAGGCCCACCAAGGCGACGAUAGCUAGGGGUUCUGANAGGAUNGUCCCCCACACUGGUNCUGAAAACAACGGACCANACUCCCNACUGGGACGCANCNA
rnacentral:rRNA from 1 species